CAAACUACCCUUUACCAACUCACUUUUCCACCUAGAGUAUCGGUACUCAGCUUGAAUAUCGGUACUCGACCCCCCAAUCCGCAGUCUCCCAAGCUGGAUACCGGUAUCAGUCCGAUGCAGUACCGGUACCCGAGCUCGAUACCGGUACUUGACAACAGGUACCAAUACUCAGUAUCAGACAUGCGCAAACCCGAGAGCACUCAGUUCUGCAAUAUCACUGGGGUAUUGGUACUCCUCUCAAGUACCGGUACUCAACACUAAAAUUCUACACUUUACAGAUUUCAGCGUCGGAAUCCUACUCUCGCAUCGCGCUGAGUCCCUUUUGCGUCUAUUUCGCGUUAAAACGACUCCGACUUGUCUCGACACCCACUAGAUGUGUCGACAAGCUACAGAUGCUUAAGUCACACAGACUGCUACACACCAGGGACGCUACAAAAUUAAAAUAAUUGUUACGUGUAUUUGUACAUACGCUCAACUAGUAUAUAUAUAAGCACAUAUUUUAAAUUUCGAUGUGUCGACAAACCCAUUUCAAAAUUUCUCUUUUUCGUAUGCAAAAUAAAUAACGUAACGAAACAAACUUUUAGUUCCUCUUUUUUCUCCAACUAUUAAUAUUUUACUUUUUAUUAAAUAUUUUUAUCUUCAAUAUCUUUUCUUUUUAAAAUAAAUAUUUAUAUAUUAUCUCUAUUCUAUCUACUAAUAAUUUAUUGUUAUAUUAACUUUUUAAUUUAGAUACUUUUAGUUUAAAAGGGCAAAACUGACACUUGGUGACUUGCUAAAGGGGACCACUUAAGAGUUGCAGGUUUAUCUCUUAGAAUAAGAUACCUGUCUGUCUCCGAGAUCAAUCAUAGGAUUCUUUCCCCGUUCCUCUUCGAUUGAUUUUUCUUCUCCUACAAAUAUCGAAGGAAAGACAAGGGAUUACACAUUAAAUGAUAAGUGGAGAUUAAAAAGAUGAAACAUUGAGUAGAGAUAGAAUCAUGUAAAAAUAUUAAUUGAAAGGUAGGGGUUAAAAAGAUGAAGUAUUGGGUGAAGAUGGGACUAUAUAAAUAAAUUAAUUGAUAGGUGGAGGUUAGAAAGAUAAAGCAUUUAGUGAAGAUGGGAGUGGGAAGAGGGAAGCCAACGGUGAAGGAGGAUUCGCCACGUGGCAAAAAUUUAGGAGAGAUAAUGUAUAGGUAUAGAUACAGAUAUAGAUAAACAAGGAUUCAAAAUUAAGUUUAAAAUCUGAAUUGGAAUUCGAAAUUAAAUUAUAAUUUGAAC
rnacentral:lncRNA from 1 species